CUUUCUCUCCCCCUCUCCCUCUCCCUCUCCCUCUCCCUCCUUUCCUCCUCCCACUCUAACUCAAUGGGAGAAUCAAAAAAGCCUGAGCAGCAGCCCUGCAGAAAGAAAAGUGGCACCAGUAUUGUUGCCUCCCUCAUACCCUCAAGGUCCCAGACGUGAUAGUCCUCUAGGAGCUCUGAAGAGUGGAGACCAGGGUAGAUGAUGGAUCACCGGGUAAACCAUGAAGAAUGCCGGGAUAUGGAGCAGCAGUAGUGACCACACCUACUGGGACAACCCAUCUUGUCACUGUCCUAUUAGACAAGGUCCAAGAUAGGCUGUUUGAAAGUACCUCACCUGGGAAGGCAAAUGCACCCCCAUGGACAAGAACUUCACAUGAAUUUUCAAGAUUGGCAGUGAACUUCACAGUGGAUGUGAUCUCACGUCUGGACCACUCUUCAGGGAAAGGGGAAAUACCUCCGGAAUCUGAAUGAUCAUCACCUACCAAAAACUACAGAAGUAGUGGCCAGAGGACAGCACUGUGAAGCAUGGACCCCAAG
ensembl:lncRNA